UAGGACUAACUUGGACCUUCUUUCCAAGGC
rnacentral:piRNA from 2 species